rnacentral:rRNA from 1 species
UACGUAGGGUGCGAGCGUUAAUCGGAAUUACUGGGCGUAAAGCGUGCGCAGGCGGUUCUCCAAGUCCGUUGUGAAAGCCCCGGGCUCAACCUGGGAAUGGCAGUGGAAACUAGGGGACUUGAAUCUGGCAGAGGGGGGUGGAAUUCCACGUGUAGCAGUGAAAUGCGUAGAGAUGUGGAGGAACACCGAUGGCGAAGGCAGGUCUCUGGGCUAUAACUGACGCUGAGAAGCGAAAGCAUGGGGAGCGAACAGG